rnacentral:rRNA from 1 species
GCCGGCAGCUCGCUCUCUGCAACUCUCACAUGGUCGCCAACUGAAGCUAAGCAGGGCUGGGCCCGGUCAGUGACUGGAUGGGAGACCACAUGGGAAAGCUGGGUUGCUGUUGGAA